rfam:Bdellovibrionales bacterium RBG_16_40_8 RBG_16_scaffold_4564, whole genome shotgun sequence.
UUUUAAGCUACAAAGGGCUUAUGGUGGAUGCCUUGGCACCAAGAUGCGAUGAAGGACGUGGUAAGCUGCGAAAAGCUUCGGGGAGUGGCACACACACUUUGAUCCGGAGAUGUCCGAAUGGGGAAACCUGCCAGAUAACUGGUACGCCUAGAUGAAUUCAUAGUUUAGGUGAGCACACGAGGGGAAGUGAAACAUCUCAGUACCCUCAGGAAAAAAAAUCAAAUCAGAGAUUCUCCUAGUAGNNNNNNNNNNNNNNNGCAUGUUAAAGCCGCUUGGCGUUGUGCAACCGGUGUCGCGGGACUUUCAGAAGUUACAAGCGUGACUUCAAAGAGUUACAAAAUUCAAUAUUAGUUUAACGAUCUGGAAAGGUCGGCCAGAGCGCGUGAUAGCCGCGUGGACGAAAAUGUUGAAUCUCUUGAGAGUAUCCCGAGUACCAACGGACACGUGAAAUCCGCUGGGAAUCUGGAGAGACCACUCUCUAAGGCUAAAUAUCACUUGGUGACCGAUAGUGAACUAGUACAGUGAUGGAAAGGUGAAAAGAACCCCGAGAGGGGAGUGAAAUAGAAUCUGAAACCGUAAGCUUACAAGCAGUGGGAGCACAAUGUGCCUAGCACAAGUGUGACCGCGUACCUCUUGCAUAAUGAGUCAGCGAGUUAUGGUUGCAUGCAAGGUUAAGCCGUGACAGGUGGAGCCGAAGCGAAAGCGAGUCUGAAUAGGGCGUUUAGUAUGCAGUCAUAGACCCGAAACCCGGCGAUCUAUCCAUGGCCAGGUUGAAGCGGAAGUAACAUUCCGUGGAGGACCGAACUGAUAGGUGUUGAAAAACCUCCGGAUGAGCUGUGGAUAGGGGUGAAAGGCCAAUCAAGCUGGGUGAUAGCUGGUUCUCUUCGAAAUAUAUUUAGGUAUAGCCUUGGAUAAAUUUUAUCGUGGAGGUAGAGCACUACAUGGGCUAGGGGUCCUUACCGGAUUACCAAACCCAAGUAAACUCCGAAUGCCAUUGAUAACUACUCCAGGAGGCAGCGCCGGGGUGAUAAGGUCACGGCGCGAGAGGGAAAGAGCCCAGACCGUCAGUUAAGGUCCCAAAAUGUGUGCUAAGUGGUUAACGCUGUGGAGCUACUCUGACAACUAGGAGGUUGGCUUAGAAGCAGCAAUCCUUUAAAGAAAGCGUAAUAGCUCACUAGUCUAGUGAUUCUGCGCGGAAGAUAUAACGGGGCUAAAGCACACUACCGAAACUACGGAUGUACGGAUUUUUAAUUCGUACGUGGUAGAAGAGCAUUGUGGCGUAGGAUGAAGGUCGACCGUGAGGACGGCUGGACGAACCACAAGCGAUCAUGCUGACAUAAGUAGCGUUUAAGACGAGUGAAAAACUCGUCCGCCGUAAACUCAAGGGUUCCUGGGCCAGGAUAAUCCUCCCAGGGUUAGUCGAGACCUAAGCUGAGGCCAAUUGGCGUAAGCGAUGGACAAACGGUUAAUAUUCCGUUACCGACUUUGUUGCAAACGUAGGAGGGACGAACUAGGUAAGAUCAGCCUCUCAUCGGAUUGAGGUGUAAGCGUGCAGGUGGUGGAGUUGGCAAAUCCGCUCCACAUACACUGAGGCGUGAAUGCGAGGAGAAUUUUUCUCCGUAAGUGAUCCUAGCCAUGGUUCCAAGAAAAGCUUCGACGUGUUUUCAAAGUUGCUCGUACCGUAAACCGACUCAGGUGAGUGGGAUGAACAUUCUCAGGCGAUUGGGUUAAUCAUGGUUAAGGAACUCGGCAACUUAACACCGUAACUUCGGAAAAAGGUGUGCCAUCUGAAGCGAAACCCCUCGCGGGCGUAGUGGAAGGUGGUCGCAGAGAAAUGGGAGUAGCGACUGUUUACCAAAAACACAGGCAUGUGCUAAGUCACAAGACGAUGUAUACGUGCUGACGCCUGCCCGGUGCUGGAAGGUUAAGAGGAUUUGUCAGCCGCAAGGCGAAGCGAAGAAUCGAAGCCCCAGUAAACGGCGGCCGUAACUAUAACGGUCCUAAGGUAGCGAAAUUCCUUGUCNNNNNNNNNNNNNNNNNNNNNNNNNNNNNNNNNNNNNNNNNNNNNNNNNNNNNNNNNNNNNNNNNNNNNNNNNNNNNNNNNNNNNNNNNNNNNNNGCGUAACGACUUCUCCGGUGUCUCAACCAUGUGCCCAGCGAAAUUGAAUUCUCGGUGCAAAUGCCGGGUACCCGCAGAAAGACGGAAAGACCCCGUGAACCUUUACUCUAGCUUGGCAGUGAUCUUAGAGCUUGUAUGUGUAGAAUAGGU